CAGAGAAGCUGAGAGAAGGAGAGAAGAAUUGAGAAGGAGGUAGAGAAGGAAACAAGAUAGAGAGAAAGAAAAGGGGGAAAAAAAGGUGGAAAAAGAAAAGGAAAAAUGUAUUAUUGAAGAAGAUGAUAUAUGGACUCAAAUACAAGUUUCAUCCUUUCUUCUAUUCUAUUCCAAGAGGUAAGAAAAACUUAUUGUUAUUCAAUAUUGUUAGAUUUGGGUUUGUAGUUAGUGGCCUAACUUAAAAGAUUUGGAGGAAAGAAUAGAUAUUGGAGUUGAAAAUCUGUUAAAGGAAUAUGAAAUGGGUUUGUAAAUUAAAGCAUAAAUCUUUAUAUUUAUAGUGUAUAUGAUACAAAACAAUUGAUUUAUGAGGAAUUACAAUGAAAUAUGGAGUUGAGGUUGGAUUUUGGUUUUUUUUUUUUUUUUUAAACUAAUUUUCGGGCAAAAUGAAUGCAUAGUGCUAUUUCUGAAAUUGUGCCCAGAAAGUGUCAUUUCUGUCAAUAGUUUUGGUGGCAGAUAUCCAUUUUCUAGAAUUUUGGAU
rnacentral:lncRNA from 1 species